rnacentral:rRNA from 1 species
AGAGUUUGAUCAUGGCUCAGAUUGAACGCUGGCGGCAUGCCUUACACAUGCAAGUCGAACGGCAGCACGGGGGCAACCCUGGUGGCGAGUGGCGAACGGGUGAGUAAUACAUCGGAACGUGCCCAGUCGUGGGGGAUAACGUAGCGAAAGCUACGCUAGUACCGCAUACGAACUCUGGUUGAAAGCGGGGGAUCGCAAGACCUCGCGCGAUUGGAGCGGCCGAUGGCAGAUUAGGUAGUUGGUGGGGUAAAGGCUCACCAAGCCGACGAUCUGUAGCUGGUCUGAGAGGACGACCAGCCACACUGGGACUGAGACACGGCCCAGACUCCUACGGGAGGCAGCAGUGGGGAAUUUUGGACAAUGGGCGCAAGCCUGAUCCAGCCAUUCCGCGUGCAGGAUGAAGGCCCUCGGGUUGUAAAGCUCUGUUGUUAGGGAAGAACAAGUACCGGAGUAACUGCCGGUACCUUGACGGUACCUAACCAGAAAGCCACGGCUAACUACGUGCUAGCCGCCGCGGUAAUAC